GACGUAGGGGGCAAGCGUUAUCCGGAUUUAUUGGGUUUAAAGGGAGCGUAGGCGGCCUUAUAAGUCAGUGGUGAAAUCUCGUUGCUUAACAACGAACGUGCCAUUGAUACUGUAGGGCUUGAGUACAGAUGCCGUUGGCGGAAUGUGUCAUGUAGCGGUGAAAUGCAUAGAUAUGACACAGAACACCGAUUGCGAAGGCAGCUGACGAAACUGUAACUGACGCUGAGGCUCGAAAGCGUGGGGAUCAAACAGG
rnacentral:rRNA from 1 species